rnacentral:ncRNA from 1 species
CAUCGUGAGGUGGAAUCUGAAGGAAGCCGGAUGUGGGAACAGACUAACCACGGGCAAAUCUCUGGUCUGACGAACAGAAAUCACAUAGAAGGUCUCGUGUGAGGGUAAGACUGCAAUACAAGCCGAAGCCCAAUAACUACACGGAAUCAUACGGGAUAAAUGUGGCAGAUAGAUGGAGAGAAAGAAAC